rnacentral:lncRNA from 7 species
ACACAGAGCCGCCGCACCAGCCGGGACAGUGAUAGAGGCAGGAGCUCACGUCACAACAGCAUCUACUCAAUUUCUGGAGAUAAAGGCAAUGUGACCCCUGAUGCCAGCAGUGAGGGCAAAUUCUUCAGCGAUCCCUCCGAGAAGGCGGCUCUGACCAUCCAGACCCACUUCAGGAGGUACCAGCAGCAGAAGCAGGGCAAGAAGUAGACGCCUCGGCCGCCGUGCCCUGCGCCGUCCUUCCUUUUGUGCGUUGUGUUCCCCAGCGAGAUCUGUGGCCGUGGUGACUGUGACCCUGUUACGUAGCUCUUGGUGUGUGUGUGUGUGUGUGUAGAUUGUCUGCUGGUUGCUGAGAUCUCUUUCCUGGUGGCUCCUUCCCCAGGCAGCUUUGCCUUGAAGACCUCGAGGUGCAUCCGCAGGGCUCCUGGUGGGAGCCGUCUGCCUGGUGGCACCCACGUGGCAGAGCUGGCAUUUGCCAGCCUUGGUGGAAGCUGGGAGCUGCAAGCCUAGGAUGGGGGGAACGGCACACACAACCGAGAGCAAUUUGCAGCACUUAAGCAUCCAAGUGGGGCUCUUUCUCAUCGGCUUCAGCCCUCCUCCGUGCCUCUGUUUUGGGCUGGAGCUGAGGCAGAGCAGUCACCUCUCUUUCCCUUGCUCUUGGACCUGAACAGGGUUGUCCUCCAGGCUGUGUGCUGCAGGCAGUGAGGGAGCAGGAGGUAUGCUGCGUGCUGUGACCUGGUUUCUACUUCUCUUGGGGAGCACUGAGGGUCCUGGCUUCAGAGUGGGGCUGGGGGUGAGACUGUGUUGGGGCUGCUCCUUCCCCAGGCAGCCCCCUGCCACCCCUGGGCUUUGGGUUUGCUGCCUGUUGUCAGCCUGUUGUCUUUGCCCUCUCUCUUGUUCCAGAAUAUUGCAGACCACAACACCUGUUCCACGUCUGGCAGGGGCAGGACUUGAGAUUCUCUUGGUUUAUAGCAUCCAGUUUUGAGUGCUGGCUUUGGGAGGUUGCAGAGUUGUUGAGAAAGAGGAGAAAAUGGAAGCAGAGGUGGGAGGAGCUGGACUGGGAAACCAGGAAGUGUUUGAGAAGCUGUUGAGGAGAUCCAGGAGCUAUGGCACAAAUGGAAGGGCCAGGAGGGAGAGGAGAUGCUGACUGUGGGCGGUGAUGCUCUGACCUCUGAAGUGCAUUCUCAGCUGCCUCUUUGCUGGGUCUGAUGCUGGAUUUUCUAUGCAGAGCUGCUGAUGUUGUGUCCUUCACCUCCUGCCUCGCUGCUGUGCAAAGCAGUGAGCUCUGGGGCAUCCUGGGGAGGGUCUGCAGCCGUGACAAAGUGCAGCAGGGUCACAAGGAGUGGAGGGAGUGCUGCAGUGGAAUGCUUGCCAAGAACCAGGAAUUUGGCCUCUGUUAAUGAAUGCAAAGCCACAGUCUGGAACUGCUGGGGAAGGUGAGGUGGGGAAUUCUUGCUAAGAUGUAGAAGGAAAUCUGUGCUAGCCGAUUAUAAUAAAGACUUUGUAAUCUGUUGUUCUUU